rnacentral:rRNA from 1 species
GAUGAACGCUAGCGGCAGGCCUAAUACAUGCAAGUCGAACGGGAUCCAGAUCAAAGCUUGCUUUGGUUUGGUGAGAGUGGCGUACGGGUGCGUAACGCGUGAGCAACCUACCCUUGUCAGGGGGAUAGCCCGGCGAAAGUCGGAUUAAUACCGCAUGACAUCAUUGAGGGGCAUCUUUCGAUGAUCAAAGAUUUAUCGGACAAGGAUGGGCUCGCGUGACAUUAGCUAGUUGGUAAGGUAACGGCUUACCAAGGCUACGAUGUCUAGGGGCUCUGAGAGGAGAAUCCCCCACACUGGUACUGAGACACGGACCAGACUCCUACGGGAGGCAGCAGUAAGGAAUAUUGGUCAAUGGACGGAAGUCUGAACCAGCCAUGCCGCGUGCAGGAAGACGGCCCUAUGGGUUGUAAACUGCUUUUAUACGGGAACAAACGUCGGUACGUGUACCGGUCUGAGUGUACCGUAAGAAUAAGGAUCGGCUAACUCCGUG